ensembl:snRNA U6 U6 spliceosomal RNA
GUGCUUGCUUUGGCACCACAUAUCCUAAAAUCAGAGAGAUAGAGAAGUUUAGCAUGGGCUCUGUGCAAGGAUGACAUGCACAUUUGCAAAGCAUUCUAUAUUUUU